rnacentral:siRNA from 1 species
UGUGUUUUAGGUGAAUUGUUC